GAUGAACGCUGGCGGCGUGCUUAACGCAUGCAAGUCGAGCGAGAAGUUUUGAAAAGAUUCUUCGGAUGAAAUUUAAAAUGGAAAGCGGCGGACGGGUGAGUAAUGCGUAGGCAACCUGCCCCAUACAAAGGGAUAGCAUUUGGAAACGAAUAUUAAUACCUUAUGAAACUUAACUAGUGCAUGCUAGGUAGGUCAAAGAUUUAUCGGUAUGGGAUGGGCCUGCGUCUGAUUAGCUAGUUGGUGAGGUAACGGCUCACCAAGGCGACGAUCAGUAGCCGACCUGAGAGGGUGAACGGCCACAUUGGAACUGAGACACGGUCCAAACUCCUACGGGAGGCAGCAGUGGGGAAUAUUGCACAAUGGGGGAAACCCUGAUGCAGCAACGCCGCGUGAACGAUGAAGGCCUUUGGGUCGUAAAGUUCUGUUCUAGGUGAUGAAAACUGACAGUAACCUAGGAGAAAGCCCCGGCUAACUCCGUG
rnacentral:rRNA from 1 species